CGGCGGACGGGUGAGUAACGCGUGGGUAACCUACCCUGUACACACGGAUAACAUACCGAAAGGUAUGCUAAUACGGGAUAAUAUAUUUGAGAGGCAUCUCUUGAAUAUCAAAGGUGAGCCAGUACAGGAUGGACCCGCGUCUGAUUGGCUAGUUGGUAAGGUAACGGCUUACCAAGGCGACGAUCAGUAGCCGACCUGAGAGGGUGAUCGGCCACAUUGGAACUGAGACACGGUCCAA
rnacentral:rRNA from 1 species